rnacentral:rRNA from 1 species
CAGCACCUCAAGUGGUCAGGAUGAUUAUUGGGCCUAAAGCAUCCGUAGCCGGCGCUGUAAGUUUUCGGUUAAAUCUGUACGCUCAACGUACAGGCUGCCGGGAAUACUGCAGCGCUAGGGAGUGGGAGAGGUAGACGGUACUCGGUAGGAAGGGGUAAAAUCCUUUGAUCUAUUGAUGACCACCUGUGGCGAAGGCGGUCUACCAGAACACGUCCGACGGUGAGGGAUGAAAGCUGGGGGAGCAAAUCGGAUUAGAUACCCGAGUAGUCC